CCUACGGGAGGCAGCAGUGAGGAAUAUUGGUCAAUGGGAGGAAUCCUGAACCAGCCAUGCCGCGUGCAGGACGACGGCUCUACGGGUUGUAAACUGCUUUUGUACCGGGGUAAAAUGCUCUACGCGUAGGGUUUUGAAUGUACGGUACGAAUAAGGAUCGGCUAACUCCGUGCCAGCAGCCGCGGUAAUACGGGGGAUCCGAGCGUUAUCCGGAUUCAUUGGGUUUAAAGGGUGCGGAGGUGGUUUUAUAAGUUAGCGGUGAAAUACCCGUGCUCAACCUCGGGGCUGCCGCUGAUACUGUAGGACUAGAGACCGGAUGAAGCAGGCGGAAUGUGUAGUGUAGCGGUGAAAUGCAUAGAUAUUACGCAGAACACCGAUUGCGAAGGCAGCUUGCUGGACCGGAACUGACACUGAUGCACGAAAGCGUGGGGAUCGAACAGGAUUAGAUACCCCUGUAGUC
rnacentral:rRNA from 1 species